GCCGGGCAUGGUGGUGCAUGCCUGUAAUCCCAGCAACUCAGGAGGCUGAGGCAGGAGGAUGGCAAAUUCAAAGCCAGCCUCAG
rnacentral:sRNA from 1 species